rnacentral:rRNA from 1 species
AUUGAACGCUGGCGGUAUGCUUAACACAUGCAAGUCGAACGGUAACAGGCCUUCGGGCGCUGACGAGUGGCGGACGGGUGAGUAACGCGUAGGAAUCUGCCUCAUAGUGGGGGACAACGUGGGGAAACUCACGCUAAUACCGCAUACGCCCUACGGGGGAAAGCGGGGGAGUCUUCGGACCUCGCGCUAUGAGAUGAGCCUGCGUUAGAUUAGCUAGUUGGUAGGGUAAAGGCCUACCAAGGCGACGAUCUAUAGCUGGUCUGAGAGGACGAUCAGCCACACUGGGACUGAGACACGGCCCAGACUCCUACGGGAGGCAGCAGUGGGGAAUAUUGGACAAUGGCCGCAGGCCUGAUCCAGCAAUACCGCGUGUGUGAAGAAGGACCUUAGGGUUGUAAAGCACUUUCAAUUGGGAGGAAAAACCUGCCGGUCAAUACCCGGUAGCUUGACAUUACCUUUAGAAGAAGCACCGGCUAAACUCCGUGCCAGCAGCCGCGGUAA